rnacentral:lncRNA from 1 species
AUUGUUCUUCAGCACAUAGCCUCACGCAUAUAUUUCCCUUUCUGACUUAAGCAUCGGAGGGGCGACGAGAACACACCUCGUUGCCUUUGUUUCAGGUACCGGAAGAUCACGUUCGUGCUCCUCAUCAGUCAUCAAGCACAGAAAAUCUAUAAAUACGAUUUUUGGUAGCAUCAAUGUGUAAUAAUAUUUUAUUAAAUAAUGUGUUUUUAAAAUUAUGUCAAAAUAUUGUUUAAAAAUGUAUUUUUUUUUUCAAAAAAUGAGGCUCAAACAAUGGCUUAUUUUGUUUUCCAUUUUUAAGAAAUUAUUAUUUUUUUUCCUAAUCUUUCAUAUUUCAAGCGAAGCGGUACUCCGACAGAAGCAGCUGUUGAGGGUAAAAGAGGAGUAGAUGGAUUGAUUUCAUUGGCGGUUAAAAAAUUAAUUUUUUUAAGGACGAAUCAAUGUUUGACACAUCUACAUCUGUCAAUGUAGCAAAACUCUUUUAAGCGAUGGUAUGGUUAAAAGUGAAAAUGUUUUAAAAUGAUCCUUUUUAAAAAUAUAAAUAUUAAGACAUCCACAUCCUGUUUUGAGCCAUGAUAAACAAUCGUUGAAAAAAGUCAAGAACGAUGAACAAUAAUUUGUUGAGGGACUUCCUCGACUACACCUUCCUCAACUUUGUUGACUAGACGACAACCCGGUUCAACAAUGUAGUUAGACUAAAAAGGUUUUCUAUUUCGUAGUAAUGACUUAUUUAUCUAUCUAUCAACAAUCUUUGGUAGAAGAGAAGGUUCGUUUUACUCGAGACUGAAAUUGGAUUUCCUAGUUUGAUAUUGCAUGAAUAAGAUUGAUCUCUCGUGUAAAUUCUUGCAUCUUUUACCGUCUUUAACAAUGAUUUAAAAAAUACAAGAAAAACAUGAUUUCUGUAUAGAAAAAGAAUGAAUACGUAAAAAAUUUCAACUUUUCAUUAUUUUUUACUUCUUUUUAUUUUUGUUCAGUACCCUUAUUUAAAUUAUUCACAUUGGUAAGGUAUUCGAAGAAAAGGGGCUCCUGGAAGCAUAUUAAAAUGAGUAAUAUUAUGUUAUGAUCCAUGACAUAAUCCUCAUUUAAUAUAAUCGAUGGGUUUAUGGCACAAGAAUUUGAGGAAUUUGAUACGUACAGCGUGGAUCAUAUGGAUGGGGCGGAAAAAGUGUGGUACAUGGGGGCAACGGUAGAAUGGUAGAUGUCCCCGUGGAAUUAAUGCCCGUUCGGUAGUGUUUAUGAGCUAUCUCGUAUAAAAUGUGUA